UGUAACCUGAGCUCAGGCGAGGUUACCCG
rnacentral:rRNA from 1 species